UACGUAGGGUGCAAGCGUUUGUCCGGAAUUAUUGGGCGUAAAGAGCUCGUAGGCGGUUUCGUAAGUCGGAUGUGAAAACUCCAGGCUCAACUUGGAGAUGCCAUUCGAUACGGGAAGGCUAGAGGUAGGUAGGGGAAAGUGGAAUUCCUGGUGUAGCGGUGAAAUGCGCAGAUAUCAGGAGGAACACCGGUGGCGAAGGCGGCUUCUGGGCCUUACCUGACGCUGAGGAGCGAAAGCUGGGGGAGCGAACAGG
rnacentral:rRNA from 1 species